rnacentral:pre_miRNA from 1 species
AUAGACGAGUAUGGAUUUGGUGCACAGUUUUACUUGACUUUGUGACUAGAUACACACUCGUCUACG